ACAGGUGGUGCAUGGCUGUCGUCAGCUCGUGUCGUGAGAUGUUGGGUUAAGUCCCGCAACGAGCGCAACCCACGUUUUUAGUUGCCAGCAUUUAGUUGGGCACUCUAGAAAGACCGCCGGUGAUAAACCGGAGGAAGGUGUGGAUGACGUCAAGUCAUCAUGCCCCUUACACCCUGGGCUACACACGUACUACAAUGCUACGGACAAAGGGCAGCAAACUCGCGAGAGCUAGCAAAUCCCAUAAACCGUGGCUCAGUUCAGAUCGUAGGUUGCAACUUGCCUACCUGAAGUUGGAAUCGCUAGUAAUUGCAGGUCAGCAUACUGCGGUGAAUACGUUCCCGGGCCUUGUACACACCGCCCGUCACACCAUGGAAGUUGGCAUG
rnacentral:rRNA from 1 species